rnacentral:rRNA from 1 species
UAAUACAUGCAAGUCGAGCGAACAGAUGAGAAGCUUGCUUCUCUGAUGUUAGCGGCGGACGGGUGAGUAACACGUGGGUAACCUACCUAUAAGACUGGGAUAACUCCGGGAAACCGGGGCUAAUACCUGAUAAUAUUUUGAACCGCAUGGUUCAAUAGUGAAAGACGGCUUCGGCUGUCACUUAUAGAUGGACCCGCGCCGUAUUAGCUAGUUGGUAAGGUAAUGGCUUACCAAGGCGACGAUACGUAGCCGACCUGAGAGGGUGAUCGGCCACACUGGAACUGAGACACGGUCCAGACUCCUACGGGAGGCAGCAGUAGGGAAUCUUCCGCAAUGGGCGAAAGCCUGACGGAGCAACGCCGCGUGAGUGAUGAAGGUCUUAGGAUCGUAAAACUCUGUUGUUAGGGAAAG